ensembl:snoRNA SNORA71 Small nucleolar RNA SNORA71
ACCUGCAUUCGAAAGUGAUCAUGGGCUGCCUGUGCCCUGGUCAUCAACAAAGCAGGGAGAGGAACCGCUGAAAGCCGCUUCCCGUGUUUGCAGGGUCCAGCCUGUCCCUUGCAAAUGCUGGCGCUUUCGCACA